rnacentral:rRNA from 1 species
GACGAACGCUGGCGGCGUGCUUAACACAUGCAAGUCGAACGGUGAAGCGCUUGCCUUUUUGGUGGGUGUGGAUGAGUGGCGAACGGGUGAGUAACACGUGAGUAACCUGCCCUCUUCUUCUGGAUAACCUCAUGAAAGUGGGGCUAAUACGGGGUAUUCCGGGUCUGUCGCAUGGCGGGUUUGGGAAAGAUUGCGCCUUUGGGUGUUUUCGGGGGGGGAUGGGCUCGCGGCCUAUCAGCUUGUUGGUGGGGUGAUGGCCUACCAAGGCGGUGACGGGUAGCCGGCCUGAGAGGGUGGACGGCCACACUGGGACUGAGACACGGCCCAGACUCCUGCGGGAGGCAGCAGUGGGGAAUAUUGCACAAUGGGCGCAAGCCUGAUGCAGCGACGCCGCGUGAGGGAUGGAGGCCUUCGGGUUGUGAACCUCUUUCGCCAGUGAAGCAGGCCUGCUCCUGUGUGGGUGGGUUGACGGUAGCUGGAUAAGAAGCGCCGGCUAACUACGUG